rnacentral:rRNA from 1 species
GUAGUUAGCCGUGGCUUCCUCCUUGGGUACCGUCAUUUGUUUCGUCCCCAAAGACAGAGGUUUACAAUCCGAAAACCUUCUUCCCUCACGCGGCGUCGCUGGGUCAGGGUUGCCCCCAUUGCCCAAUAUUCCCCACUGCUGCCUCCCGUAGGAGUUUGGACCGUCUCUCAGUUCCAAUGUGGCCGAUCACCCUCUCAGGUCGGCUACCGAUCGAUGGCUUGGUGGGCCGUUACCUCACCAACUACCUAAUCGGACGCGAGCUCACCCCGAACCGGAUCUCUCCUUUGACCCCUUUGCCCAUGUGGCUGUGUGGUCUCAUGCGGUAUUAGCAGCUGUUUCCAGCUGUUAUCCCCCUGUUCGGGACAGAUUGCUCACGCGUUACUCACCCGUCCGCCGCUCAAACACAACCGAAGCCAUUGUCUUCGCUCGACUUGCAUGUGUUAGGCACGCCGCCAGCGUUCGUCCUGAGCCAGGAUCAAACUCUGA